AGAUUUGGUUCUCUAAAUAACAAAAUUUUGAAUAAUUCGAAUAUUUAAUCAAUUUAUGUUCGGGUUUGGUACUAUAUUUUCAGAUCGGUAUCGGUUCUGUUCUUUGGAUUCAUUUUGUAAAACCUUAAUAAUUACAUGAAAAACAAAUAUCAACAUAUUUUUCAAAAUAUACACCCGCGCACCUGCGCGGGUCAAAAUCUAGUUUGAAUUAAUUACCAUGGCAUGUUUUUAAUUUUAGACUUAUUAAACAUGCUGUGACUAAAUAUAAAUACAUACUUCAUAUUAAAUCUAUAUAAGCUAUAGGAAAUCUUGCUGUCAAAAAAAAAAAAAAAGCUAUAGGAAAUCUAAAUCAUAUCAUUUGAGAAAGUAAAUCCUAACUAUAAAUUCAAACACGAUUAAUAACCUACCGUAUAUUCCUUGAAAUAUACCUCUUAUCAAAAAUAUUUUCAUAAAUAGAAACAAAUAGAUAUAGUCAAUAUAAU
rnacentral:lncRNA from 1 species